GACGAACGCUGGCGGCGUGCUUAACACAUGCAAGUCGAACGGAAAGGCCCUGCUCUUGUUUGGCGCACGAGUGGCGAACGGGUGAGUGACACGUGAGUAUCACGUCCUUGUCAUUGGGGUAUAAUUUGGGGAAAGCGGAUAAAACAGCAGAUAAGCUCCUGAUGCACAGGGUGGGAAAGUGAGUUACGGCGUUGGUGUCAGGUAUCGCGGGAUCCGGGCUGCUUUAGCUAGUUGUGAAGGUCACAGCUUACCAAGGCAACGAUGCAUAGCCGACCUGAGAGGGUGAUCGGCCACACUGGAACUGAGACACGGUCCAGACUCCUACGGGAGGCAGCAGUAGGGAAUCUUCCGCAAUGGGCGAAAGCCUGACGGAGCAACGCCGCGUGAGUGAUGAAGGUCUUCGGAUCGCAAAACUCUGUUAUUAGGGAAGAACAUAUGUGUAAGUAACUGUGCACAUCUUGACGGUACCUAAUCAGAAAGCCACGGCUAACUACGUG
rnacentral:rRNA from 1 species